rnacentral:rRNA from 1 species
GAUGAACGCUGGCGGCGUGCCUAAUACAUGCAAGUCGAGCGAACGGACGAGAAGCUUGCUUCUCUGAUGUUAGCGGCGGACGGGUGAGUAACACGUGGAUAACCUACCUAUAAGACUGGGAUAACUUCGGGAAACCGGAGCUAAUACCGGAUAAUAUUUUGAACCGCAUGGUUCAAAAGUGAAAGACGGUCUUGCUGUCACUUAUAGAUGGAUCCGCGCUGCAUUAGCUAGUUGGUAAGGUAACGGCUUACCAAGGCAACGAUGCAUAGCCGACCUGAGAGGGCGAUCGGCCACACUGGAACUGAGACACGGUCCAGACUCCUACGGGAGGCAGCAGUAGGGAAUCUUCCGCAAUGGGCGAAAGCCUGACGGAGCAACGCCGCGUGAGUGAUGAAGGUCUUCGGAUCGUAAAACUCUGUUAUUAGGGAAGAACAUAUGUGUAAGUAACUGUGCACAUCUUGACGGUACCUAAUCAGAAAGCCACGGCUAACUACGUGCCAGCAGCCGCGGUAAUACGUAGGUGGCAAGCGUUAUCCGGAAUUAUUGGGCGUAAAGCGCGCGUAGGCGGUUUUUUAAGUCUGAUGUGAAAGCCCACGGCUCAACCGUGGAGGGUCAUUGGAAACUGGAAAACUUGAGUGCAGAAGAGGAAAGUGGAAUUCCAUGUGUAGCGGUGAAAUGCGCAGAGAUAUGGAGGAACACCAGUGGCGAAGGCGACUUUCUGGUCUGUAACUGACGCUGAUGUGCGAAAGCGUGGGGAUCAAACAGGAUUAGAUACCCUGGUAGUCCACGCCGUAAACGAUGAGUGCUAAGUGUUAGGGGGUUUCCGCCCCUUAGUGCUGCAGCUAACGCAUUAAGCACUCCGCCUGGGGAGUACGACCGCAAGGUUGAAACUCAAAGGAAUUGACGGGGACCCGCACAAGCGGUGGAGCAUGUGGUUUAAUUCGAAGCAACGCGAAGAACCUUACCAAAUCUUGACAUCCCUUGACAACUCUAGAGAUAGAGCCUUCCCCUUCGGGGGACAAAGUGACAGGUGGUGCAUGGUUGUCGUCAGCUCGUGUCGUGAGAUGUUGGGUUAAGUCCCGCAACGAGCGCAACCCUUAAGCUUAGUUGCCAUCAUUAAGUUGGGCACUCUAAGUUGACUGCCGGUGACAAACCGGAGGAAGGUGGGGAUGACGUCAAAUCAUCAUGCCCCUUAUGAUUUGGGCUACACACGUGCUACAAUGGACAAUACAAAGGGCAGCGAAACCGCGAGGUCAAGCAAAUCCCAUAAAGUUGUUCUCAGUUCGGAUUGUAGUCUGCAACUCGACUACAUGAAGCUGGAAUCGCUAGUAAUCGUAGAUCAGCAUGCUACGGUGAAUACGUUCCCGGGUCU